UAGAUCUAGUAGUGGCCUUCCCAUCAGGACACUCUACCCAGAAACACAACAUAUACCCUGACACACGAUGGGGUUUGCACUUCAGCUGUGUUUGGUGGCCCUGUUGUUUGCCAGUGGAGUGGCAAAAGCACAAAAAAUAGGACCUAUUUUUGUAGAAAAUCCUUUUCCUUAUGAUGGAGCAUCUGUACCAAUUGAACUUGAGCAAACAUUUGUGUAUGCUGGAAGGAAUUACUCACAACUUUACCUCAGCAUGAAUGGCUUUCUCUCAUUCUUUUCCCCACCUGAUGAGUUUUACCCUACUCCUUUCGUGGCCCAAGAUGGAAUUUUUCCAAUGUGGGUCGACAUUGAAAACGAUGAGGGGGGAGACGUUUGGUAUUUCCAAGACA